ACAUUCUGGUAGCAAUAUUAGGAUGUUGGAGUGGCGCAAGGGUGUGUAACACGUGAGUAAUCUGCCGUGAAGUCUGGGAUAACUCGCUGAAAGGCGAGCUAAUACCGGAUGUGAAUGUAAAUUCGAAGUUGGGGAUCGCAAGACCUGACGCUUUACGAUGAGCUCGCGGCCUAUCAGCUAGUUGGUGAGGUAAUGGCUCACCAAGGCUAAGACGGGUAGCUGGUCUGAGAGGACGACCAGCCACACUGGAACUGAGACACGGUCCAGACACCUACGGGUGGCAGCAGUCGAGAAUUUUUCUCAAUGGGCGAAAGCCUGAAGGAGCGACGCCGCGUGGGGGAUGAAUGGCUUCGGCCCGUAAACCCCCGUCAUUUGCGAACAAAUUAAUCUACCUAACACGUGGAUUAUUGAUUGUAGCGAAAGAGGAAGGGACGGCUAACUCUGUGCCAGCAGCCGCGGUAAUACAGAGGUCCCAAGCGUUGUUCGGAUUCACUGGGCGUAAAGGGUGCGUAGGCGGUCAUUUAAGUCUGACGUGAAAUCUCCGGGCCUAACCCGGAAACUGCGUUGGAAACUAUCUGACUAGAGGAAUGGAGGGGAGAUUGGAAUACUUGGUGUAGCAGUGAAAUGCGUAGAUAUCAAGUGGAACACCAGUGGCGAAGGCGAAUCUCUGGACAUUUCCUGACGCUGAGGCACGAAAGCCAGGGGAGCAAACGGGAUUAGAUACCCCGGUAGUCCUGGCCCUAAACGGUGCACGUUUGCUGUAAGCGGAAUCGACCCCGCUUGUGGCGUAGUUAACACGAU
rnacentral:rRNA from 1 species